rnacentral:rRNA from 1 species
AACGAACGCUGGCGGCAUGCCUAACACAUGCAAGUCGAACGAGAUCUUCGGAUCUAGUGUCGCACGGGUGCGUAACGCGUGUUAAUCUGCCCCUUGCUUCGGAAUAACAGCCAGAAAUUACUGCUAAUACCGGUUGAUGUCUCCGUACCAAAGAUGUAUCGGUAAGGGUUGUGCCCGCGUAGGAGUAGGUAGGUGGUUGUGUAAUGGCCUACCAAGCCGACGAUCCUUAGCUGGUCUGAGAGGAUGAUCAGGCACACUGGGACUGAGACACGGCCCGGACUCCUGGCGGAGGAAGAAGUGGGGAAUAUUGGACAAUGGGCGAGAGACUGAGCCAGCAGUGCCGUGUGGGUGAUGAAGGAGUUAGGGUUGUAAAGCUCUUUUAACAGGGCUGACAAUGACAGUACCUGAAGAGUAAGCUCCGGCUAACUCCGUG